CUUGAGGCUAUUACUAAUAAGGCAUGUUUCCUAAUCCUUUAAUCAUUCUUGUGGCUCUUCUCUGAACCCUUUCCAAUUUACCAACAUCUUUCUUGACUUGUGGACACCAGAAUUAGACAUAGUAUUCCAGCAGUGAUCACACCAGUGCUAAAUUCAGAGGUAAAAUAACCUCUCUACUCCUACUCAAGAUUCCUUGUUUAUGCAUUCAAGGAUCAUAUUAGCUCUUUUGCCCUGGAAGGUUGUGUUCGGCUGAUUAUCCACCAUGACCCCCAAAUCUUUUUCAGAGCCUCUGCUUCCCAGGAUGGAGAACCCCCCCACCGCCUUGUGAGUGACUGUUGGUCAUUUCCUGUCUCAGCCACAUAAUCACAUUAUUUUGACCGGAUUGGAAGUGUGCUCAAGCAUUUUUUGCAGUACGAGGAAUGGGGAGAGGACCAUGAAGAGACCACACCUGCAAUUUCAGGGUUCCAGCUGCUGGGAAUUCUUGGAGGACUUGCAUCAGAUGCUGACGCCCAAGGAACAGUGAGCAAGGCAUUGGGAAUAAUGGAGGCUUUUAAUGUACUGCAAUAUAUUGCUUCAAUGAGGAGAGGAUUUUUGCCACAUUAUACAGCAGUGAAACCCAUUCCACCACUGACAGCCAAAAAAAGUCUCACCUUUUUUCUGAGACAGCCAGUACCACCAGCUCGAAUUUUUGUAUGCAAAUUAAGGUAGCAGCAGCAGAAACAGUCAUAUGGAGAACCAAAGACCAUUUGGGACAUUCCUUUCUAGCACUAACUGGAGCAUGGUUCAGAUAACUAUUUUUGUCUUCUGUCCUACACUCAGGACUUGUAUUCUGGCUCUUUGAGCAAUUCUCAGAACCUUUUUACCUAUGAUUUAUGGUACUUAUUAUUCCUCAUGCAAGUCCAUGGCAAAGGAAACCCAUGAUGAAGAAUCUAAAAUGUUGGAAAUUCCAAUUAAUGGAUCUUCUGUGGCAACCUGUGGAGCUCCUUGCCAGAUGAUGAUGUGAAGGCCAAGACUAUAACAGGGUUCAAAAAAGAACUAGAUAAAUUCAUGGAGGACAGGUCCAUCAAUGGCUAUUAGCCAGGAUGGGCAGGGAUGGUGUUCCUAGCCUCUUUUUCCAAAAGCUGGGAAUGGGAGAUGGGAUGGAUCACUUGAUGAUUACCUGUUCUGUUCAUUCACCUCUGGGGCACCUGGCAUUGGCCACUGUCGGGAAGCCAGGAUCCUGGGCUAGAUGAACCUUCGGUCUGACCCAGUGUAUCCGUUCUUCUGUUCUAAAACAUCUCCCCAGGAUUGCUGUGGUGCUAGGCCUGAGCCUCAGAGUGCAAAUAGUCAUCUCUCUCUAGUGAAGAUUUAAGCCAAGAAGAACUGAAAGGAGAAGAGGCAGGAGAAAAAGAAGCCAUCUAAGGAAAGCUAUGACCAGGGGCCAGGUGGCAGCAGGAUGCUGAGGCACCCUUUCCAUGUUAAGUUCCAUUGAAUUCAGUGGGAGUUUGAUUUGGCUGUCAUGGAGUAGCUCAAGCGGUGUCACUCCCACCUUUCCUUUUGGACCCCUAGAGCUCGUCCUCUCAGAGUGGCAGUUGAACUAAAAGUGUGGCCUUAAUCCUAUGUAGUUAAACCAGUGCAAACUCUCUCUCUUGUGUUGGAGUGGUUUAGUUUAAGGUGAUGAGGAGCAAAUGUAACCUGAGCUACAAGACGACACUCUUCCAUUGAAAUAUGAGUGAGUGCCCAUGUAAGGGUUUUCCUGGGUUUAACUAAGCCAGUGCAAGUUUGUGGGGAGACAAGGCCUAAUACAUACAGCGUCUUCCUUCCAUUCCUUUGUGAAACUCGUGCAGCAAACCAGUGGAUCCAGGGCUGUCUGUAGUGUCUUUUCCCCGCCAACAUUUCACCCACUGCAGGUCUGGAUGGGAGUGCCAACCUGGACCAGCCACUGGCUUAUCAACCACCAGGUCAUCUAAUGCUGCUCCGAGCAAGACUAGACCAAGUGGUGUCUAAAAUGCUGGUAGCCACUAGAGCCCUGCCUACAAACCGGCACCCAUCAUUGCUGCCAGUGGUGGCACUGUGCUCAUGGUAGCAACAGUGGGAAAUUUUAGGGCAAAAAGACUGGCUUGGACAAGGCCAAAGGAUAACACAGGACAUGGCAGGAUAAUAUCAGGACUCCAAGACUUAGAGAACAUUCUAAUGAGUAUCGAAAGAUAUACUGUACUCUGGGCAUGGUCCAUUCACACUGUGGUUGCUCUGGCAAAGUUUGAUAGUUGUUUUUUAGUGUAGAAUUAUCAGUCAGAGUGGGGUAGGUAGGGCAGCAAGCCUGUUAGGGCUUUUAUCUUCCCAGAACCUGGGAACAAAGACCACAGGAGAGGAAACUGGGUUGGCCAAUUGUGGGGGGUUGUGCAUUUAUCGGUCUGGGAGUUCAAAGGAAAAGCAUGCAAAAGUCAAAUACACAAAUGUAUCUGGGGGUCGACUGAUAAGUUGCAUUUCAAAGCAAAAGACAAUCUAAAAGGGACAGUACUGAGUAGCUGAGGCCUAGAAUGUCAGUUUUUGUUUUUUUUUUUAAAAAAAAAGAGGAUUUCACAAAAACUAAUAUGAACAGAAAUGGCUUCCCUGUGGUUUGACACAUUCCAGACAUGCCAUGACUGUUCCUGUCAAGGAUGAGCAGUCUCUGGUUUUUGUGGUGUAUUUGUUAGUUUCAAGCUAGUUCUCUUUAUCCACAGUCUUUCACUGGAGCUAACUGGUCCCUGCUUUUCCACUCCAAAUGAUGCUCGUGCUGGUGCCAAAUGACGUGACGGGAAUAUUGUGCUGGAUCAUGGAAAACAGAAAAUGAAAGCCAGUUUCACUGUCCCAGCUGAACAAAAUAGCAGAAACCAAACAGCUUUAAAUGGGGAAAAGUGAGAGCUACAAAAUUAUUCCUGUGUCAGUAAUGGAAGAGGUGUUAUGAUUAUAUGCCUAGCGGGUGGAAUUCUACCUUAAUGCACAGCACUUGAUUCCCCAUUGUCUUGGACUCUGUGCUGUCCCGGACACUCAUUUUGCAUGGGGGUGAAUGACUGUUCUGGGUGAAGAAUGUGACCCACAUUGAGAUUUUAACUCUUGGUGGUGCUCUAACUCUUGGUUUCUCAGAGCCUUCAAAGACAUGGUGUCUUAGGCUUUGUUUACGCUCAAAAAAAGUGGUGCUGGUUUUACUAUACCGGUAUGAACUAUUAAUCCCUGUAGUGUGGUUGCGGUUAUAAUGGCAUUCGGCACCUUUAUACAGCUAUAACACUAUCCAUGCUAGGAGUUGUACUAUAACAAAUUGUUUAAAAAUAAAUCCCACCACUCACUGACAUAGUUAUAUCUGUUCAAAAACUCGGUGUAGACUUGGCUUGAGUGAAGUGCUCAUCCAGAGCUUUGGCUGGGACAAUAUGCCUGGGCCCUGAAGGAGGGCUCUUGCAGAAGAGCCCGUAGAACUAACAGCCCGUCUACACGCACAAGUUACAUUGUUUUAACUUAAAUCUGUUUAAAAACCAAUUGAGUAAAACUGGCGCAACCCCCAGCAUUGACACACUUAUGUUAGCUUCAGAUGGGCUGUAUCAGGUUAGCUUGCAUUUAGCCAGGUUUAAAUAAACUUAGGAGUGUCCCCACAUAAAGUUGCACCUGUUUAAAAUCAUAUCUGUAAUUACAUGGGUGCAACUUUGUGUGUAAACCAGGCCUAAUAGACCUUAUUGUCUGGUGCAAGUAGGAAAGAGGUACUAUGUGGGUAUCUGUCCCACAGGCUGGGGUAACGUAUCUUAUAUGGCCUCCAUCACGUAGUAUUUGAGUACCUCACAAAGCCUCUAUGAGGUGGGGAAGUGCUAGUGUCCCCAUUUUACAGAUGGAAAGACUGAGGCUUGUCCAAGGUCACACAGGAAGUCUGUGGUGGAGCAGGGAACUGAAGCUGAGACUCCCAAGUCCCCUGGACCAUCCUUUCCUUCCAAGGAGUAUGAUGGAGUACAUAGAACUUCUUUGUGUCUCAGACUAGUAAUUGUCUUCCCAAUUUCCUCUCCACGAUGAAGUCUGGAUAAGCCCUAGCAGUGAGUGCAGACACAGAUUGUGGGGUGGGAAAUGGAGGGCUAGGGAGUGUCUGCCUGAAAGCAGCAAUAAAAGAAAUGUUCUGUAGGAGUUAACUCUCUGGUUUCUUUUUAUUUUAUUAAACAUGACUAUGGCUAUCAUAUGCUCAAAAAAGGGGAACGCAAGGAAGAGACAUUAACCCAUGGAAACUUGAAUUCCCACCCCACCCCAUGAGAUGAUGAGGCCUGUGGGUGCAGCAGCAUAGAGAUGGGGGAAUUUGCUCUGCACUUGCCCCGGCUGUAGGUCUGUGGAUCGAGAGAACUUUGACCAUCAGUUUAAAAAGUUUUAAAGAGAAAAGAAAUCACAUCCGUUGGAUGCUCAACAUACAUUUUGAUCACAUCAGGGAGCUUAAUCUUUCAGCCUCAUAUAGACACUCACCACGUUGGGUUUGUUUUCAAGUGGCUGUGAUUGGAUUUGCCAUUAAAGACCCCAGCGCUGAUGAGGCAUGCAGGCCUUUCCCUUUCUAAGAAGCAAAAGGCCGGAUGGGCAUGGGCUGUGGAGAGUUUUGGUUUUUUUCUACUCAGCACAGCUUAUGAAGAAUGGUUUUGAAGUGGGUGUUUUCGCCUUUCAAGGUCUCUAUGCUGGACGUGUUUAUCAGUGUGGAACUGUCAUACUUCGUAAAAGCACUAGAAAAGGCUUUUAAUAUUCCAGUAACUAUAUAUGUGGUUGCUGUUUGCAGAGUUGUUAUUUCUAACCAAGAUAAUCUCUCCAGAGUUUUAUCUAUUACGGCAAAACAAGUGAGCCUUGAAUUGCAUUUUACUGUCAGAUUUCAAUUGUAUGGAUAUAACAAAAGGUUACUUGGAGAUACUCUGUUAUCUUUGUAUUGACAUGUCCUUGUCUGAUACUUGUUGCUUGAAAAUCUCCAUUCUCUCUCUGUGUGUUUUCUAAAAGAGUAAAAAUAGAUAGAGUGCCUGUAUGGACAGAGGAAGCAUAAGUGCAAGUUGCACACCAAAAAAAUAAAAAUAAAAAAAAAGGAUACUGGAAACCGAUGAAAUAACCAGAAGUUUUUACAGAACAGGAAAUAAUUGGCACCUUGUUCAAUCAUUUGAAGUCUUUAAAUCAAGAUUGGAGACUGUUCUAAUAGCAGUUUCUGCUUCAGCCACAGAGUACUGGGAUCAGUGAAGGAAUUCUGUGACUUCUAUCGUGCAAGAGGUCAGACGAGGUGAUCUUAAUGGCCUGAAAAUCUACGAUUCAUAUUCUGAGCAUGGUCAAAUUUUGGAGCUUCCAGAGAGGUUUGCCUUGGAGGGAUGGGGCCCAGAAAACUAGUCCACUCUGUUCUGUCUUCCAUUCUUGAUACCCCCAAAUGAACUGGGGCCUUUGGAUUGUCUUGCUGGCUAGGGCGCUGUGAAAAUCUGGCCUGUUAUGUAAAUUUCAGUAUUGAUAGCUAAAAGCAAAUUCCACCUUGAUUUUUAGGGGCCUCCCAUGACCACAGGAAUUGUAGCUGCCUAAUGCCAGCCAUGAUUCCAAACAAAUCUAAGGCUCAGCUGAUGGCCACAGUGUAACCAACAACUGUGUCUGCUUUUCUCCCUGGGGGAACUGAAUGCUGUGAUGUUGCAGUAUAGCAAAGAGGGGAGACAGGCUUAUAAGCAAGCACAUAUACCCUUGUUACUGGCCACAAAUUCCACACACAGACUGCCAAACCCAGAGCCACAGGAAGCUAGAAAGGCAAGGGAGAGAGGCUUUAGUUACUUGCCUGUAUAAAAACUCCCUGAGCAAAACAAACUCCAUUGCCACAGAGUGGCUUGUGGCAAUAGGAAAAUUCAAGAAAGUCCAGAGCAAUGGAGUAAUUUCAGAGAAUAAAACUAAAACUGAUUUGUCUGCCUACCCUUUGCUCUGGCUUUCUGUGCAGCCAAAAGUAAAAACGAAGGUCACAAGUAGAACCGUGCACAGAAAUGAGCUCUGUCUAAUCACAGCUCCUGAUCCUUUGCAUGUGCACCUAAUGACCUGGAAAACGACACCCACCCCCAUCCUUUGCCAUGGUACCAGUUCAACCAGUGUCUUGAGUCCUGUGCCCCACUGAGUUAAUAGACCCAACCCUCUGGAAUUAGAAUAUGCAUCGUGGGGCUUGCCCACACUGCAACUUUUAAAUUACACUUGAGGCCCUGUUUACAUGAGGAAAAGAGGUGUGUUUUUAACAAGUUAGCUAAUGUGUUCCAAUCCUAGUGUAGUUUUAAUGUGUUAGCAGAUCAAGGUAAACACUAGCCUGAGGUGAACAGUUUUGCCAGCUGUGACAGGGCAAGGUCCAGCUCCUGUCUUCUGCUCUCUCUACACAGACUGUUCGGAGACCGUCUGUUGUUAAACACCACGGCAUAGUUUAUUUACAUUGCUCUGCUCCCCACCCUCAACCAGGCAUACACCACACCAUUUACAGCCUCAGUUUCUCCUAUGCCGAGGAGAGGGAAGAGAUCUCUUCACCCAGGGAUCCUUCUUGCUUCUGGCUCCAUUAGCCUCUCCACUAUGUCCUUCCUGUGCUGCCUUCUACCCACUCGUUAAUGGGCUAGGUCUUUAGUCCACCUUAGCCUACUCUGCUCUGCUAAUUAAGGCACAGUCAGGUCCACCCGGGGAGGCGGGGAGGCAAUGGAUUGGUGUUUAUGUGAUCAGGCUGCUGGUUCAGUUGCUUUUUCCCAGCUCUCUGUCACACCAACUCUGGUGAUUUUUAUCACAAGUCUCACAAUAUUUGUUGUCCUUUUUAAAGCCCCAGCUCUUGGAGUCAGCUGAUUAUAUGAGAAUCUCGGAUUUCACUUAAAAAAUCCCCAAAACAUUUCUAGUCCUCAUGGUCACAGAGAAAAGCUAGUUAUUCUAAAAGCCACCAUAAGAGAAAGCAAGUAAAAACAAUCCAAUUUUUUUAAAAUCCCAUGAUCUCGUGAUAUUUGCAGAGGCGGACUCAUCACUUGGGAUUGGCAAUACUGGGUUAAUAUGUCAGCAUACAGUGAAACCCGCCCCACAAAACACCUCUUUUUGGCAACCCCAUUUCUUCAUUGAACACUUUCAGGUAACCGUAAAGUAUCUAGUAAAAUGUUGUUUGAUCUUCAGUUAAAAUCCAAUCUCUACUGCAGAAACUGAUUUUGCUGUUCCUUAAAGUUUUCACUAGUUGGAUGGAGGACUGAGAGUAGUUUAAUGUUUCCCUACUACAGCAGUAAGCUUGGCUAUCAAAGAAGGACAGGCUCUUUUAGGAAGGUGACACAUAUGUUUCUUUUUUAAACCUCUGGAUAGUGAAUAGCUGACUAGUUGGGUAUCAGAUACACAUUGAAAUUAUCAUA